GAUGAACGCUGGCGGCGUGCUUAACACAUGCAAGUCGAACGGAAAGGCUCCUGCUUGCAGGGGUACUCGAGUGGCGAACGGGUGAGUAACACGUGGGUGAUCUGCCCUGCACUUCGGGAUAAGCCUGGGAAACUGGGUCUAAUACCGGAUAGGACCACAUUUUGGAUGGUGUGGUGGAAAGUUUUUCGGUGUGGGAUGAGCUCGCGGCCUAUCAGCUUGUUGGUGGGGUAAUGGCCUACCAAGGCGUCGACGGGUAGCCGGCCUGAGAGGGUGUACGGCCACAUUGGGACUGAGAUACGGCCCAGACUCCUACGGGAGGCAGCAGUGGGGAAUAUUGCACAAUGGGCGCAAGCCGGAUGCAGCGACGCCGCGUGGGGGAUGACGGCCUUCGGGUUGUAAACUCCUUUCGCUAGGGACGAAGCGCAAGUGACGGUACCUGGAGAAGAAGCACCGGCUAACUACGU
rnacentral:rRNA from 1 species